AUGUCUGUUGCUUCCUUACAUAAAAUAAUUUAUUGCGAUCACCAAAAUUAUUUGCUAGUCACAAUAAAUCGAAUAACAGAUUUUCUGAAAUUUUCGUUUGUCGGUAAAACCACCAUUUAUCCAUACUUGUCUAGUGUUCUGCUUUGGAUAUAUAUGAUUUUCGCAAAAGAUUAAUGCAUCUUAAAACGAGGGACAAAUUACGAAAUAAUUCUUCUUCCUAAAAGUAAAUGAGUAAAGCAUCAUUUCUAACAAUUGUUUUUUAUGAAAAUAUUCUAAAGAAGAUCGAUCGCACCAAGUUACUAGAACACGAGCAAUUAUUUUACGUGAAACAAAUAAAAUGAAGUAGCUGAAGCGCUUGCUAAAAGUGCCAUUAAUUUUACUUAAGAGAGGUCCAUGGAAAAUUUGUAAUGUCUGGAAUGUCAAAUAAUGGACAAAUUUUGAUUUGUAUGGUAAUGUGGAGAAAAUUUUUUAAUCGAGAAUUGAAGCAAAAUAUAGAAGUGGAAAUUGGCCCUUACACCCGACCCCAACAGAUCCCAGCUCCAACUGUGCAGCAGUGGAUAAGUAGAGCCUCCCUCCCUCGCCGUUCUCUGCCUAUCGUCCAACUCUCGCCAUGUCAAUUACUUCCCUCUCCCCCACAAUCCCCACAGCCUACGCCACCUUUUAGAUAUAUAUGAUUUUCGCAAAAGAUUAAUGCAUCUUUAAACAAGGGACAAAUUGCGAAAUAAUUCUUCCUCCUAAAAGUAAAUGAGUAAAGCAUCAUUUCUAACAAUUGUUUUUUAUGAAAAUAUUCUAAAGAAGAUCGAUCGCACCAAGUUACUAGAACACGAGCAAUUAUUUUACGUGAAACAAAUAAAGUAGCUGAAGAGCUUGCUAAAAGUGCCAUUAAUUUUACUUAAGAGAGGUCCAUGGAAAAUUUGUCGUGUUUGGAAUGUCAAAUAAUGGACAAAUUUUGAUUUGUAUGAUAAUGUGGAGAAAAUUUUUUAAUCGAGAAUUAAAGCAAAAUAUAGAAGUGGAAAUUGGCCCAUACACCCGACCGCAACAGAUCCCAGCUCCAACUGUGCAGCAGUGGAUAAGUAGAGCCUCCCCCCCUCGCCGUUCUCUGCCUAUCGUCCAACUCUCGCCAUGUCAAUUACUUCCCUCUCCCCCACAAUCCCCACAGCCUACGCCACCAAUGCCUCUUCCUCCUCCUCCCUGUCCUUCCGCUCCUCGCUUCUCCUCCGCCUCCCCAUUAAGCGCCUCUCCAACCUCUCCCUUUCUGCCACCACUUCAAAGAAAACCCCACUCAUCUCUGCAUCAAUGGAAGCUGGAAUUGGUGUAA
rnacentral:lncRNA from 1 species